GGACUAUAGCUCAGUGGUAGAGCGCUUGCCUCACAUGUAUGAGGCACUGGGUUCUAUCCUCAGCUCCA
rnacentral:tRNA from 1 species